UACGUAGGGGGCUAGCGUUGUCCGGAUUUAUUGGGCGUAAAGAGCGUGUAGGCGGCCUGGUAGGUCUGCUGUGAAAACUCGAGGCUCAACCUCGAGAUGUCGGCGGAAACCAUCUGGCUAGAGUCCGGAAGAGGAGAGUGGAAUUCCUGGUGUAGCGGUGAAAUGCGUAGAUAUCAGGAGGAACACCUGCGGUGUAGACGGCUUACUGGACCAUAACUGACGCUGAGGCACGAAAGCGUGGGUAGCAAACAGG
rnacentral:rRNA from 1 species